rnacentral:rRNA from 1 species
AACGUAGGAGACGAACGUUAUCCGGAGUUACUGGGCGUAAAGGGCGUGUAGGCGGUUUGUUAAGUCUGGCGUGAAAGCUCUCGGCUAAACCGGGAGAGGUCGUUGGAUACUGGCGAACUAGAGGAUGGUAGAGGCGUGUGGAAUUCCGGGUGUAGUGGUGAAAUGCGUAGAGAUCCGGAGGAACACCAGUGGCGAAGGCGACACGCUGGGACAUACCUGACGCUAAAGCGCGACAGCAUGGGGAGCAAACGGG